AUUGAACGCUGGCGGCAUGCCUUACACAUGCAAGUCGAACGGUAACAGGUUAAGCUGACGAGUGGCGAACGGGUGAGUAAUGUAUCGGAACGUGCCCAGUCGUGGGGGAUAACUGCUCGAAAGAGCAGCUAAUACCGCAUACGACCUGAGGGUGAAAGCGGGCGAUCGCAAGACCUCGCUCGAUUGGAGCGGCCGAUAUCAGAUUAGGUAGGUGGUGAGGUAAAGGCUCACUAAGCCGACGAUCUGUAGCUGGUCUGAGAGGACGACCAGCCACACUGGGAGUGAGGCACGGCAGAGACUCCUACGGGAGGAAGCAGUGGAGAAUUUUGCGCAAUGGGCGCAAGCCUAAUCCAGGAAUGCCGCGGGCAGGCAGAAGGACUUAGGCUUGUAAACCGAUUUUGUCAGGAGAGAAAAGGUUCUGGCUAAUACCUGAGACUCAUGACGGUACCUGAAGAAUAAGCACCGGCUAACUACGUG
rnacentral:rRNA from 1 species